GAUGAAGAACGCAGUGAAAUGCGAUAAGUAAUGUGAAUUGCAGAAUUCAGUGAAUCAUCGAAUCUUUGAACGCACCUUGCGCCCUUUGGCUAUUCCAAAGGGCAUGCCUGUUUGAGUAUCAUGAACACCUCAACUCUCAUGGUCUGCCAUGAUGAGCAUGGACUUUGGAGGUCUGCUGGCCUGUGGUCAGCUCCUCUCAAAUGAAUCAGCUUUCCGGUGUUUGGUGGCAUCAUGGGUGUGAUAAAUAUCUACGCUUGUGGUUUUCCACCAGGUAACCUUCAGUGAUGGGGGUUCGCUGGGGCUCAUAAAUGUCUCUCCUCAGCGAAGACAGCUUUGUGAAUGUUUGAUCUCAAAUCAGGUAGGACUACCCGCUGAACUUAAGCAUAUCAAUAAGCGGAGGA
rnacentral:misc_RNA from 1 species